GAGAUCACGCCACUGCACACCAGCCUGGGUGACAGAGUGAGACUCCCAUCCCAAAAAAAUAAAAAAAUGAAGGGAUGGUGGCUCAUGCCUGUAAUUCCCACAUGUUGGGAGGCUGAGGUGAGAAGAUCAAUUGAGUCCAGGGUUUCAAGACCACUUUUGGCAACAUGACGAAACCUGUCUCUACAGAAGAUACAAAAAAUUAGUCAGGCAUGGUGGCAUGCAUCUGUAGUUCCAGCAACUCAGGUGGCUUUUUUUUUUUUUUUUUUUUUUUUUUUUUUUUUUUUUUUUUUUUUUUUUUUUUUUUUUUUUUUCAAACUUCUGUAGAACAUAUUACUAA
rnacentral:lncRNA from 1 species